rnacentral:rRNA from 1 species
CCUACGGGGGUCAGCAGUGAGGAAUAUUGGUCAAUGGGCGCGAGCCUGAACCAGCCAAGUCGCGUGAGGGAAGACGGUCCUAUGGAUUGUAAACCUCUUUUGUCGGGGAGCAAAAGACGCCACGCGUGGCGUUCCGAGCGUACCCGACGAACAAGCAUCGGCUAACUCCGUGCCAGCAGCCCCGGUAAUACGGAGGAUGCGAGCGUUAUCCGGUUUUAUUGGGUUUAAAGGGUGCGCAGGCGGAAGAUCAAGUCAGCGGUAAAAUUGCGAGGCUCAACCUCGUCGAGCCGUUGAAACUGGGUGACUUGAGUGAGCGAGAAGUAGGCGGAAUGCGUGGUGUAGCGGUGAAAUGCAUAGAUAUCACGCAGAACUCCGAUUGCGAAGGCAGCAUACCGGCGCUCAACUGACGCUCAUGCACGAAAGUGUGGGGAUCGAACAGGAUUAGAUACCCCUGUAGUC